rnacentral:rRNA from 1 species
GGUUAAGCGACUAAGCGUACACGGUGGAUGCCCUGGCAGUCAGAGGCGAUGAAGGACGUGCUAAUCUGCGAUAAGCGUCGGUAAGGUGAUAUGAACCGUUAUAACCGGCGAUUUCCGAAUGGGGAAACCCAGUGUGAUUCGUCACACUAUCAUUAACUGAAUCCAUAGGUUAAUGAGGCGAACCGGGGGAACUGAAACAUCUAAGUACCCCGAGGAAAAGAAAUCAACCGAGAUUCCCCCAGUAGCGGCGAGCGAACGGGGAGGAGCCCAGAGCCUGAAUCAGUGUGUGUGUUAGUGGAAGCGUCUGGAAAGGCGCGCGAUACAGGGUGACAGCCCCGUACACAAAAAUGCACAUGCUGUGAGCUCGAUGAGUAGGGCGGGACACGUGGUAUCCUGUCUGAAUAUGGGGGGACCAUCCUCCAAGGCUAAAUACUCCUGACUGACCGAUAGUGAACCAGUACCGUGAGGGAAAGGCGAAAAGAACCCCGGCGAGGGGAGUGAAAAAGAACCUGAAACCGUGUACGUACAAGCAGUGGGAGCACGCUUAGGCGUGUGACUGCGUACCUUUUGUAUAAUGGGUCAGCGACUUAUAUUCUGUAGCAAGGUUAACCGAAUAGGGGAGCCGAAGGGAAACCGAGUCUUAACUGGGCGUUAAGUUGCAGGGUAUAGACCCGAAACCCGGUGAUCUAGCCAUGGGCAGGUUGAAGGUUGGGUAACACUAACUGGAGGACCGAACCGACUAAUGUUGAAAAAUUAGCGGAUGACUUGUGGCUGGGGGUGAAAGGCCAAUCAAACCGGGAGAUAGCUGGUUCUCCCCGAAAGCUAUUUAGGUAGCGCCUCGUGAAUUCAUCUCCGGGGGUAGAGCACUGUUUCGGCAAGGGGGUCAUCCCGACUUACCAACCCGAUGCAAACUGCGAAUACCGGAGAAUGUUAUCACGGGAGACACACGGCGGGUGCUAACGUCCGUCGUGAAGAGGGAAACAACCCAGACCGCCAGCUAAGGUCCCAAAGUCAUGGUUAAGUGGGAAACGAUGUGGGAAGGCCCAGACAGCCAGGAUGUUGGCUUAGAAGCAGCCAUCAUUUAAAGAAAGCGUAAUAGCUCACUGGUCGAGUCGGCCUGCGCGGAAGAUGUAACGGGGCUAAACCAUGCACCGAAGCUGCGGCAGCGACGCUUAUGCGUUGUUGGGUAGGGGAGCGUUCUGUAAGCCUGUGAAGGUGUGCUGUGAGGCAUGCUGGAGGUAUCAGAAGUGCGAAUGCUGACAUAAGUAACGAUAAAGCGGGUGAAAAGCCCGCUCGCCGGAAGACCAAGGGUUCCUGUCCAACGUUAAUCGGGGCAGGGUGAGUCGACCCCUAAGGCGAGGCCGAAAGGCGUAGUCGAUGGGAAACAGGUUAAUAUUCCUGUACUUGGUGUUACUGCGAAGGGGGGACGGAGAAGGCUAUGUUGGCCGGGCGACGGUUGUCCCGGUUUAAGCGUGUAGGCUGGUUUUCCAGGCAAAUCCGGAAAAUCAAGGCUGAGGCGUGAUGACGAGGCACUACGGUGCUGAAGCAACAAAUGCCCUGCUUCCAGGAAAAGCCUCUAAGCAUCAGGUAACAUCAAAUCGUACCCCAAACCGACACAGGUGGUCAGGUAGAGAAUACCAAGGCGCUUGAGAGAACUCGGGUGAAGGAACUAGGCAAAAUGGUGCCGUAACUUCGGGAGAAGGCACGCUGAUAUGUAGGUGAAGUCCCUCGCGGAUGGAGCUGAAAUCAGUCGAAGAUACCAGCUGGCUGCAACUGUUUAUUAAAAACACAGCACUGUGCAAACACGAAAGUGGACGUAUACGGUGUGACGCCUGCCCGGUGCCGGAAGGUUAAUUGAUGGGGUUAGCCGCAAGGCGAAGCUCUUGAUCGAAGCCCCGGUAAACGGCGGCCGUAACUAUAACGGUCCUAAGGUAGCGAAAUUCCUUGUCGGGUAAGUUCCGACCUGCACGAAUGGCGUAAUGAUGGCCAGGCUGUCUCCACCCGAGACUCAGUGAAAUUGAACUCGCUGUGAAGAUGCAGUGUACCCGCGGCAAGACGGAAAGACCCCGUGAACCUUUACUAUAGCUUGACACUGAACAUUGAGCCUUGAUGUGUAGGAUAGGUGGGAGGCUUUGAAGUGUGGACGCCAGUCUGCAUGGAGCCGACCUUGAAAUACCACCCUUUAAUGUUUGAUGUUCUAACGUUGACCCGUAAUCCGGGUUGCGGACAGUGUCUGGUGGGUAGUUUGACUGGGGCGGUCUCCUCCUAAAGAGUAACGGAGGAGCACGAAGGUUGGCUAAUCCUGGUCGGACAUCAGGAGGUUAGUGCAAUGGCAUAAGCCAGCUUGACUGCGAGCGUGACGGCGCGAGCAGGUGCGAAAGCAGGUCAUAGUGAUCCGGUGGUUCUGAAUGGAAGGGCCAUCGCUCAACGGAUAAAAGGUACUCCGGGGAUAACAGGCUGAUACCGCCCAAGAGUUCAUAUCGACGGCGGUGUUUGGCACCUCGAUGUCGGCUCAUCACAUCCUGGGGCUGAAGUAGGUCCCAAGGGUAUGGCUGUUCGCCAUUUAAAGUGGUACGCGAGCUGGGUUUAGAACGUCGUGAGACAGUUCGGUCCCUAUCUGCCGUGGGCGCUGGAGAACUGAGGGGGGCUGCUCCUAGUACGAGAGGACCGGAGUGGACGCAUCACUGGUGUUCGGGUUGUCAUGCCAAUGGCACUGCCCGGUAGCUAAAUGCGGAAGAGAUAAGUGCUGAAAGCAUCUAAGCACGAAACUUGCCCCGAGAUGAGUUCUCCCUGACUCCUUGAGAGUCCUGAAGGAACGUUGAAGACGACGACGUUGAUAGGCCGGGUGUGUAAGCGCAGCGAUGCGUUGAGCUAACCGGUACUAAUGAACCGUGAGGCUUAACCUU